GAUGAACGCUGGCGGCGUGCUUAACACAUGCAAGUCGAACGGUGAAGGCGGAGCUUGCUCUGCUGGAUCAGUGGCGAACGGGUGAGUAACACGUGAGCAAUCUGCCCCUGACUCUGGGAUAAGCGCUGGAAACGGCGUCUAAUACUGGAUACGAGCUGCGAAGGCAUCUUCAGCAGCUGGAAAGAAUUUCGCUCAGGGAUGAGCUCGCGGCCUAUCAGCUUGUUGGUGAGGUAAUGGCUCACCAAGGCGUCGACGGGUAGCCGGCCUGAGAGGGUGAUCGGCCACACUGGGACUGAGACACGGCCCAGACUCCUACGGGAGGCAGCAGUGGGGAAUAUUGCACAAUGGGCGAAAGCCUGAUGCAGCAACGCCGCGUGAGGGACGACGGCCUUCGGGUUGUAAACCUCUUUUAGCAGGGAAGAAGCGAAAGUGACGGUACCUGCAGAAAAAGCGCCGGCUAACUACGUG
rnacentral:rRNA from 1 species